rnacentral:rRNA from 1 species
GAUGAACGCUGGCGGCGUGCUUAACACAUGCAAGUCGAACGAAGCACUUUUGAUUCUUCGGAAGAGAAAGUGACUGAGUGGCGGACGGGUGAGUAACGCGUGAGUAACCUGCCCUAUACAUGGGGAUAGCCAUGGGAAACGAUGAUUAAUACCCAAUAAAGCUUAAUCUACGCAUGUAGGAAAAGCCAAAGUGCUUAGUGGUAUAGGAUGGACUCGCGUCUGAUUAGCUAGUUGGUAAGGUAAAGGCUUACCAAGGCGAUGAUCAGUAGCCGACCUGAGAGGGUGAUCGGCCACAUUGGGACUGAGACACGGCCCAAACUCCUACGGGAGGCAGCAGUGGGGGAUAUUGCACAAUGGAGGAAACCCUGAUGCAGCAACGCCGCGUGAGUGAUGAAUGCCUUCGGGUAGUAAAACUCUGUCCUAGGGGAAGAAAACAAUGACGGUACCCUUGGAGGAAGCCCCGGCUAACUACGUGCCAGCCGCCGCCGUAACAC